rnacentral:rRNA from 1 species
UACGUAGGGGGCAAGCGUUGUCCGGAAUCAUUGGGCGUAAAGCGCGCGUAGGCGGUCAGGUAAGUCCGGUGUGAAAGUCAAAGGCUCAACCUUUGAAUGCCGCUGGAUACUGCUUGACUUGAGUCCGGAAGGGGCGAGUGGAAUUCCUGGUGUAGCGGUGAAAUGCGUAGAUAUCAGGAGGAACACCGGCGGCGAAAGCGGCCUUCUGGACGAGGACUGACGCUGAGAUGCGAAAGCGUGGGGGAGCAAACAGG